ensembl:lncRNA
CUGACCAGGGAUCAAAACUGAGGCCCCUGCAUUGCAAGGGGAAUUCUUAACCACUGAACCACCAGAGAAAAGAAAUCAAGGUUUGGAGGGUCAAAGGUGACCUGCCUGAAGCUUCAUAGUUGGCAGAUUCUUUACUACCGAGCCACCUGGGAAGCCUUUACAGCAGAAUGGGGACUUCUUUACCUUCUGACCUCAAAGUUCUGUUUGACAUCCCCUAACACCCACCAGUGAAGGAAAAGAUGCUGUGCCAACCAUCCCUAGGGGGAAGCGCCCCCACGUCCCUUUGUCUGGGCUCUGGGAGAAGACAAUUAGUGGAAUUCUUGCCGCUUCAGGCCAUUUGGGGCUUUGGGGUUGGGACUCCAGAGAUGCAGAGAGUCAUCAUAUUCAUAUUCAGACUCCUGAGUUUCUCCGCUUCACCCCAGUUCUGGGGCCCCAAGCCUCUCCUCCCAGCCCCCUGCAUUUGUAAUUUUCUAAAAAUAAAAGCCUGUGUUUCAA